AAAUCUGUGCUUUAUCCUUGAUGUCAAAUCAAGCUUUUAAUGAGGCUAUUUUACUUUGUCAUUUCAUUUCAUUGGCAAGAUAAACUCUUGACUAGCAAGAUUGUAGCAAAAGUUGCGAUUAGCAAGAGUACUAAUACUAAUGCCAUUUCUGUUGUGGAGAAAUUUCAAAAGGUGAGGUUGAAAUUCCCUUUUUCCAUCCUCUGGUAAA
rnacentral:lncRNA from 1 species